rnacentral:rRNA from 1 species
CCAAUAGCGUAUAUUAAAGUUGUUGCAGUUAAAAAGCUCGUAGUUGAAUUUCGGGAUCAAUUUAUCGGUCGUGCCUACGGUAUGAACUGGUACAAUUGGUUUCUCCCUUCUGAAGAACCUUGAUGUCAUUAACUUGGUGUCUUGGGGAAUCAGGACUGUUACUUUGAAAAAAUUAGAGUGUUUAAAGCAAGCAUUAGCUUGAAUACAUUAGCAUGGAAUAAUGAAAUAGGACGUUUGAUCCUAUUUCGUUGGUUUCUAGGAUCGACGUAAUGAUUAAUAGGGAUAGUUGGGGGCAUUAGUAUUCAAUUGUCAGAGGUGAAAUUCUUGGAUUUAUUGAAGACUAACUACUGCGAAAGCAUUUGCCAAGGAUGUUUUCAUUAAUCAAGAACGAAAGUUAGGGGAUCGAAGACGAUCAGAUACCGUCGUAGUCUUAACCAUAAACUAUGCCGACUAGGGAUCGGAUGAUGUUAAUUUUUUAAUGACUCAUUCGGCGCCUUACG